rnacentral:lncRNA from 1 species
AUGGAACAACUAAAACAGAAUCCAAAUUCAAAGUAUCAGUAAGAGUUAAGGAUCCUUCCCCAAUGACUGGGGUUGUGUUACCAUUGGUUGUGGAAACAAUUUUUUGUGAGGAAGGUCUAAGGGGUGAAACCUGUCUAGAAUCAAAAUUCAUAUGAUCUGUAGCACCAGAAUCAAUUAUCCAUGCACUAUUAAUAACAGGUGUAAAAGUAUUUAAAAACUUACCACCAUGAUCUGUAGCGGCUACCAAUGCAGAGGUUUUCUCAGCAACAUUAGUCUCUGUUUUUAUUUCGGCAACAUUUGCAGUCGAGGUUUUCUUGGAAUCCUUCUUCCAUUGAUCACGAUUAUUAUCAUUACUAACAAAGUGUUGAUAACCUAAACAUGAUCUAAAGGUCCAUGGUUCAAACCCUCGGUUCCUCAUUUUUUUCCUGAUCGUACCAAGAGUCGUUGCUUUGAAAUUGUGGGAUAUCCAUACUAGUGGGAUCAGUCUUAUUGCAUUGAGUGCAUUUGAAGGUUGACUUAUCAAUAUUAGGGCUUGUCUUAGGAUGGUUGAUCGCUGUUGGACUACCAUAGCGACAAAAUAUCCAGGAUUUCAGUUCCAUGGCUCUGAUACCAUGUUGAAAUUGAUAAAUGAUAUUUUUUCAUUCAUAUUUUCAUUCGUUCGUGUACAGAGUAUAUAUAGAGGGUAAUCACCAUUCUAAGAAUGGGAAAGAAUGAUACAAGGAAAUAAUGAUAUAAGGAAAUAACAACUAAUAUCCUAAUAUCUCAACUUUCCUAAUAUCUCAAUAUUCCUAAUAUCUCAAUAUUCCCAAUAUCUCAAUAUUCAUAAUAUCUCAACUUUCCUAAUAUCUAAACAUUCCUAAUAUCUCAACACUAAAUGAUAUAAGGAAAGAAUGAUAUAAGAAACAUUCCUAAUAUCUCAACACGUUUGACAGCAAGCCAAUGGACAUCGGAGGGCUUAGACAUGAACUAACAUGCUUUGUUUACAGAAAAAGCAAUAUCAGGCCUUGUUAAAGUGACAUAUUGCAUAGUCCUUACUGUUUGACGAUAUUUAGAGGGGUUUGAUAGAGGCACACCAUCCGACUGAGAGAGUGUGCAUCCAAGGCUACCUGGUGUGGGUGUAGGUUUGGAGUUCUCCAUGUGAGUGCGGUUGAUGAGGUCUGUAAUAUACUUCUACUGAUUGAGGUGCAAGAUUGAGCCUUGACGGUGAGCCUGAAUACCCAAGAAAUAGGAUAGAGGGCCAAGAUCUCUGAGUGCAAACUUAUCAUGGAGAUAGGAGAUGAAGUGAGAGAUCAGUUUCUGACUGCUUCCAAUGACCAAAAUGUCAUCGACGUAUACAAGGAGAAUAAACACCUCUGAAGUAGUGUGGUAAAUGAAGAGGGACAUGUUAGCACGUGAGGGUUGAAACCCAUAAUCAACUAAGGCGACCUGAAGCUUAUGAAACCAAGCUCUAGGGGCCUGUUUCAGGCCAUAAAGUGCCUAAUGUAAUUUGCAAACAUAGUGAGGAUAGCGGGGGUGAACAAACCCCUGAGGCUGAGCCACAAAAACUUCUUCUUGGAGCUCUCCAUCUAUCAUUUGCAGGCUCAUGGAUGAUAUAGUUUUCCAUGAGGUAUUACAUCAUUUAUGUUGCUUCAUGUUGUUUUGUACUAGCUCUAUGUACCCUUGUACUUAUGGUUAUGAGUGAAAAUUAUAUAGCUCAAGCUAAUUUUAAUUUAUAACAUAUAACCUUUAGCUAUAUGAGUUUAACAUGAAUAAUAAUUAUAUAACUUUUGACUAUAUAUAAUUUUAAUUUGUAGCAUAUAGUUUUAAGAUAUGAGUUUAACAUUUAUUUGUCUACUAGUCUUUUUUUUUUUUUUUCCUUCUACAUAACUUCCAACUAUGAAAAAUUGGAUGAUAACAUGAAAAAUUAAAGAAUAUAAUAAUUAUAGAAUACAAAUAAAAAGUUAUAUUAUGACUCACCUUAUCAUGUAAGAGUCCUUGAAAAUAGACAAGAUUUUAGACUUUGCUAUAGUCUCAUGUUCCUUUGCCAUGGCCUAUUGCUCUUCUAUCAUGCUCGUGUUGAUAACAUGUUGUAGAAAAUAUAGUGAAAGAGAAGAAAAAAGUCAUGAAUAUUUCAUUAGAAGUUUUCUUUUUUUAUAAGAAGUCACAAAGAAAUUCACAUUAAUAUGAAUCAUCCACAAAUGGGACAAAUUCUGAUAUUUUAUAACAAUUUUACAAUUAUUACAAAAAAAAACAUUUUAGUUUACCAAAAAUAGUUUUUGGUUGUUCUUUUUACACAUUUUGUGAUUGAAAAUAGCUAAUAGUAAAAAUGAAAUUAAACCAUACAUAAAAAGUAUACAAAAUAAACUAUUCAAAUAAAAAUAAGAUGAAAUAAAUAAAAGAUUCAAAGCAUAUACAACAAAAUCAUUAUGCUAAAAAAAUUGAAAAUAAAUGAAUAAAAAACGAACCGAAUAAAGAACUAGUAUAAGAAAAAACAAUUAUAUUUACAAAACUGGAAUGAAAAGAAAUAAAUAAAAAGAGGGGAAAAAGUACCCUAUACAGUUGAGCCUCCUACAAUAAUAGCUUUCACAGAUAAAACUAAAAAAAUACAGGUAAAAUCUCAAGACUCUCUCACCAAAAAAAUACCAAGCCCAAAACAGGAGAGGAACCAAAGAAAAAGAGCCCCAAGUGAGCAAGUUGUCUUCCUCCCCGCCCUAAUUACCAAAGGUCGUCCUCCAUUAUCACCACCACGACCUCACUGCUUUGUUCUUCAUCAUGGGAAGAAAGAUUUGGGUAAGUUUCCUUUUGAUUUAUAUGGUAAUUAUUUUUUGUUUUGGGCUUGACAUAUAUGUUUUGGGCCUUCCUUUGGUUGGAUUAUUAACAUGGGUUUGGGUAAUGAUUUAGAUUUAUUUUAGUUUGGAUUAUGGGCUUUGAAUUUUAUUUAUUUAGGCUUUGACUCCUUAUUUUAUUUGACCUGUAAUACUUUGGAUGGGUUUGGGCUUGUUUGCAUUUUGGGCUUUGCAUGUUAUAUUGGCCUUGGUAUUUGAUUAUGAUUUGAAUUAGACUUGUUUAUACUGAGCUUGAGCCUUAUUGCUUUGGAUUACUGCUUCGUAUUGGGCUUCAGUUUAUUUUGUUUCGAUUUGGAUUUCUGAGUUUACACGGGUGUUAUUGUCUUGGCUAAGAGACAAACAAACUGAAGCCUACAGAAUAAAAAACCCUAGGGCUCACAAAAAGGGUAGGGGGAAGUAGUCUUUGUAUUUUGUGAGAGGGUUGAGAUUUUUUGUGUUAUUAGGCUUCAUCUUGGGAGUUGUUGAGGACCAUUAUAUUAAGGAUUGCACUAUAAAGGGUACACUUGUUCCUCCUCUCUCUUUAUUUUAUUUUGUUGUUUGUUAAACAUAUUUGUUUUAUUUUCUUAAAUGUUCUGUAAAUACAUUAUUAUUUUGAUAACUUUUCUAUUUUAUUGGUUCAUAAAAAAUGCCAAGUGAUUAAAUAGGAGUUAUCAUUUGUCAAAUGGGAACAUUCACUUAUAUUAGUUUUAUUGUUGCAAAGGUCCCUCCGAACCAUAAUCUAACCUAAAGCUUGGAAACUUGGGUUGAAAGUCUUAGAAUAGUAAAACUCGCAUCUUACUUGGAGUUUGAGGAGAGUGAAUAUAGAUUAUUGUGAGAACUAUUAUAAAAUCUUGUAUUUGGAAUUUCUCUAUCUCUUCUCUUUUUAUACUAGAUUGCUCUUAUAAUUUAAUAUGUCACUUAUAUUCUUAAUUAUUAAAUUUGUAAAAAGAGACCAAUAUUCAAUGGAAAAAGUGCGCAAAAUUCAUAAAGCAUUUUAAGUUUGAAAAUAUAAAGGGGAAAAAACUUUAUUAAAAGUAAAAACCCUAAGUACUAGAAAGAAGAAAAUAAUUGUAACAACAUUGAAUGAGAAUGAUAAAGACUUCAUGUAAGAAAUGUGCAGAAUUGGUUUGUUAACAUGUGUUUUAUGCUUUACAUUGACUAUAAAGAUGAGAUAAAUUCUUCAACUAUUAAUGAUGAAUUAGAAAACAUUUUUGAAAAACUUUACCUUGAUUUAUAGAAAUGUGACACAAAAAUAUAUAAUUUUUUUUUUCAAAAAAGGAAGUUGUCUUUCUCCAAAAUGAGCUUGAUGUUUUGGAAAAACAGUUUGGGACAUGUGAAAAAGUUGUCUCAAGAAAAAUAUGUUCUUGAGAAGAAAAAAAAGAGAUGAUUGACAUAAUGUCAUGAGAAAUUUUCAAAUAGGCAAAAGAUUUUCACUAUGAUUUUAAUAAGUCAAAAACGUAUUUAAAAUUUUAUAAAAAUGAAAAGUAUUAUAAAAAUCAUUUUGGGAAAGAAGUUUCAAAUAAUAAUUCCGGUAUCAUUUGUAAUUUUUGUGGAAAAGGAUGUUAUAUUAGCUAGUUAAUUGUCUUUUAAGAAAAUACUCUUAUAUUACUCACUAUUAUCAUAUUAGAAUAAUAUUUCUAUGAUUAUAUUUUAGACAAUAUAAAUGAUACAAUUUUGAUUAUUUGGUUUGUUUUAUUAAACUUCUUGGACCUUAGUAAAUAUAAAUAUAUUUCCAAGAUAUAUUUAGAAUGGAAAUAAAAAUUAGUAUAAAUUGAUCCAUCAUCCUUCAUCUUUUUAGACUGAUUUAGCACCACCUUUUCAUAAAAUCCCAAUUUUGAAAAAUUUUAAUUAUUUAAUUAAAUAUAAAGUUAAUUAGAUGAUUAAUUGUCAAUUUGGACCCAAAAAUUCUACAGGGGAAAAUUUUAGCCCUGAGAUCUUGGAUUGCUUGGAAUUUGCAUCAUGGCAAGUGCUCUUGCCACCAUAACUGGAACAUAAAUAUUGCACCCUUUGAUGUUAUAUUACCAUUCUUGGAAAACUAGAGAUUUUGAUAACUAACAAUUGCGGAAAUGAUGUUAAACAUGAUAAGAUGAUAUUAUAAGAUAUGACAUAUAUCAAUAAGCUUCAUUAAAAGAUGAGUACAGAUCUUAUAAUAUUAUAGGAAAAUAUACAUGACCCACAUUAUUAAUCAUAUUUUUAUAUGACAUAUAGGAUAGAGCAUGAUACAGAACCAUCUCUCCGUUCAUAUUGGCACAAGGUCAAUGAGAAUCGAAGCAAUGAGAUCUUUCAUCAAUUUUCCAACAUGUGUGUACUGAUCUUCGUCCUUAUACAAAAUAUCAAUCACACGGCUGAAAUUAAGAACACGUGUAAGAAGAGGCAUGGGCACUUGUGUAGGUUUGAGGCACUCCUCAUUCAUGUCCUUCCAUCCGUUCACUACUUGCUUAUUCAACUCAUCAUAUGCUUCUUGCUUACAAACCCCACGUUGCUUCAUGUAGCAUUCAACUGCUGAUGCAACAUGCCCUCUUUUUUGCUCAAACUGCACAAAAAGAAAAGCGAAGAAAAUCAAGGAUACAUAGAGCUAGAGCUAGUACAACACAACAUGAAGCAGCAUAAAUGAUGUAAUACCUCAUGGGAAACUAUGUCAUCCAUGAGCCUGCAAAUGACAGAUGAAGCUCUAACCAUCUUAGGGUCGCUGAAAACCCAAUCGAAGGCCUCCUUUGUUGCUAUAUCUCCCAUGCCAACAAAAGAUGUGGUUAUGAGCAUAGAGUAACCACUGCUUACUAGUGCGUUACUCAUAUACUCAUCCAAUGUUGGUGUAUAUUCUUGGUUCAACCAUUUGGCUUCAACAAAGUAGGCUUGGAUUUGCCUUUGUAUCUGAGUUUACAUAAUAUUGCAAAUAGACUAAUUAUACUGCUAGCUUACAAUAUAUUUUUUGAAGAUAGAAAAAAUAUUUAUGAAAGAGUUAAGGAACUAGAAGAAGGGUCAUUGGAGGCAAACCGCUGCUUUUGCAUAUUGAACACGGUACAGGUUUCCUUCCUUGGCUAUCUCUUCCUCCAUUUCUUCAUAAACAUCCAAGAGAGCCUGAUAACAAGGCUUCAUAUAAUCU